rnacentral:rRNA from 1 species
CAGCAGCCACGGUAACACGUAGGUGGCAAGCGUUGUCCGGAAUUAUUGGGCGUAAAGGGCUCGCAGGCGGUUUCUUAAGUCUGAUGUGAAAGCCCCCGGCUCAACCGGGGAGGGUCAUUGGAAACUGGGAAACUUGAGUGCAGAAGAGGAGAGUGGAAUUCCACGUGUAGCGGUGAAAUGCGUAGAGAUGUGGAGGAACACCAGUGGCGAAGGCGACUCUCUGGUCUGUAACUGACGCUGAGGAGCGAAAGCGUGGGGAGCGAACAGGAUUAGAUACCCCAGUAGUCCCUGUCUCUUAUAC